rnacentral:lncRNA from 1 species
AGCAAGGUUAACAUGAACUCAAUAGGAUUUCUCUAAAUCCAUACAAAUUAGUGCUUCAUAAGCCUAAUUUUAACCAAUCUAAGUCUUCUUCCUUUGAUGUGUGAUCCUAUAGGUUCAAUUCUGACUGAUUGUGAGAUAUACCAUGAUCUCUAUCAUAGAUAUUACUGAAAUUCAUUUUAGUGGAUCGAAAUAGUUUUACUCUAGCUCGACAA